CUCCGCUUGAAGGUGGCAGCACGGUCUUCGUUUCCUGUUUCGUUCUGACGUGCCGGACCCCGCGAUCUAAUUAAGUGCGACGAAGUAAACGUCAAUGUGCUGUGAAAAUACUUUAAACUGUGUCAUAUUGAAGACAAACUCCAAGUUUAACUCGCUAAAGUGGAAAACUAGUGGUUCCAAGUGGCUGACACGACAUUUAAGCCGAAGUUGAAAGCGUCGUCAACGAGCCACGACGAAACCGAGAGUUAUACACGUCGACAUUAACGGUACGAAAAGUAUAAACAAUUCCUACUACGCGUCUCCUUGAAUAAUCUCCGAAUAUAUCAGUCUUAAUUCGACUUCGAACACGAUAACAUCGGGCGCCGAACCAAAACAAGAGAAACUGCGACGUUCUCGAGACGGAGACCAACCACGGCGAUCCUGUUGGCCGCCGUAGGAGAUGAAAAUGCGAUCUGUCGGUGGAGGGGAGGGUGUAUGGCCGGCGCAUCGACGCGUAUCGACGGGUCGGAAAAACCGCGGCAAUCUAUCCGGGGAUUGCUCGUGGAAUCGGCUCGAGAAGGCGGCCCUCUCUGAUUUCCUGGUGUUCUUGCGCGGCGAUGUGCCGCUUUGGCCGCUGCCAAGGAACGAAAGAUAAACAGGCAUAGCAGAAGUAAGUUUAGGUAAUUGUAAAAGAAUAAAGAAAAGAAAAGAAUCGUCGGUGGAUCGAACGAUGUGGAUCAUUAUCUCGGGGAAAUGUGUUAAAUUGCGUAGUUGCGGUUUGGAAUAUGGGGCGUGAUCCUAUGAUCGUAACAAGUAACGAGAUGGCGAAAUUUAAUUGGGAGGGAAGGAGAAGGAAUUUUGUAUUUAAAAAGAACGAUAGUAAUUUUUCUCACCGUUUUCAUCCAUGCUUGUUAAAAAUUAUCGACACGAGUCUUGAUCCAAUUUCCAAAAUUAUCAUCAUCCUUCGAUUCAAAAAGAGAGAGAGAGAGAGAGAGAGAGAGAGAGAGAAAUUAGAAUAUAUUAAAUCCGUAUAAUUUCAACUACCUUAAUGGACCGAGAACAAAGACUGAAGAAAGGACUCCUCCUCUCUUCUCCUCGACCAAAUGACCAUCUCCAUAAAAAAAUACUAUUACGGUUUCGAAAUCGAACCUGAGGAAGAAAAAGGGAGGAAAAAGAAAUGAGAUUGGAAAAGGGAAAUAAUCGAGGGUCAGGCGGCCGUUAAAAAUGGCCCGCGCGCAAAGUGCAGAGAGCGUGCAAUGGGUAAACGGGUGGAGGAUCGUGCAAAUAGGAGGGAGGGGAGGAGGUAAAAGGGGAGAGAGAGUCGUUAGGUGCCCGGGGCCAGGGCCGCCAUAUUUUAUUACUUAAACGGCAUGCCGGGUAGGUUGUUUGUUGGUUAAACAAGGAAUUAAUGCCGCGGUAAUCUGUCAUUAUGGGAUACUCGUGCAGGAGGAGGACCAACCCUCGUAGUUGCAUGCCGUUCUCUCCUCCUCCUUCUCCUCCUCUUCUCCCUCCAAUUGAUCCAGCUCUCUCGUUAACCCUCUCUGUUUUGCUCUGCUUCGCAUAAUUUCCAAUUGGUUCCCUCGAAAAGGAAAGAGAGAGAGGAGAGAAGAAAUGAAGGAGAGGAGAGACGAAGAAGGAGAGACGAAGAAUCGCACACGUUAUAUACUAUACACCAUUCCGCGAUCCAUAGCCGAAAAUGCCAAUUGAAUGAAUAAUAGACGAAGAAUCAAUGUUCCGGAUCCUGACCCCGAGAGUUUUCGUCUCUCGUGUAGCACACAGUCGCGCGGCCAACCCUCGGCGUAUCGCUUCCGCUAACUUUCCGAUCGAUCUCACUGCGGACGCUAACGGAAAUUGCUAUUGCUUUUUACCCCGUUCUCUAUGAAUUCGCAAUUUCUCUCUUCUUUUUUCCUCUCGUGGAAUGAAAACGCGUGGCUGUUGGAAACUUUCCCUAUAUUCGAUCACAAUUAUUUACACCAUCUGAUUAAAUUUUAUUGUAACUUAAUUAUAAUUGUGUCAUUGAAAAAAGUAUAGAGAAGUGUAUCGAACUUUCUCUUUCUACAUUCGAUCACAAUUAUUUAUACCAUCUGAUUAAAUUUUAUUGUAACUUAAUUAUAAUUGUGUCAUUGAAAAAAGUAUAGAGAAGUGUAUCGAACUUUCUCUUUCUACAUUCGAUCACAAUUAUUUAUACCAUCUGAUUAAAUUUUAUUGUAACUUAAUUAUAAUUGUGUCAUUGAAAAAAGUAUAGAGAAGUGUAUCGAACUUUCUCUCCCUACAUUCAAUCACAAUUAUUUAUACCAUCUGAUUAAAUUUUAUUGUAACUUAAUUAUAAUUGUGUCAUUGAAAAAAGUAUAGAGAAGUCUAUCGAACUUCCUCUCGCUACAUUCGAUCACAAUUAUUUAUAUCUGAUUAAACGGACAAUUUUGUAACUUAAUUAUAAUUAUGUCAUUGAAAAAAGUAUGGACAAGUGUAUUGAGCUUGAAGA
rnacentral:lncRNA from 1 species